rnacentral:rRNA from 1 species
GAUGAACGCUGGCGGCGUGCCUAAUACAUGCAAGUCGAGCGAACAGACGAGGAGCUUGCUCCUCUGACGUUAGCGGCGGACGGGUGAGUAACACGUGGAUAACCUACCUAUAAGACUGGGAUAACUUCGGGAAACCGGAGCUAAUACCGGAUAAUAUAUUGAACCGCAUGGUUCAAUAGUGAAAGACGGUUUUGCUGUCACUUAUAGAUGGAUCCGCGCCGCAUUAGCUAGUUGGUAAGGUAACGGCUUACCAAGGCGACGAUGCGUAGCCGACCUGAGAGGGUGAUGGGCCACCCUGGAACUGACACACGGCCCAGACCCCUAGGGGAGGCAGAGGUAGGGAAUUUUCCGAAAGGGGCGAAAGCCUGAGGGAGCAACGCCGGGGGGGUGAUGAAGGUCUUCGGACGGUAAAACUGUGUUAUUGGGGAAAAACAAAUGGGUAAGUAACGAUGCGCGUUUGACGGGAACCUAAAAAGAAAGCCCCGCCAAAUACCGU